GCGACCCCAGGUCAGGCGGGGCUACCCGCUGAGAUUAA
rnacentral:rRNA from 1 species